AACAGUACUCCUGUUCCUAUUAUGUGACAACGUAAACUUGGCUGGAAACAUAACAUUCUUUUAAAUAUUUCUUAGAGGGAAAGUUUUCUGUUUUUGAGGAUUGAUCUCCCUCAUGACAACAAGUCAACAUUGCUCUGCAUCUUUAAUCUGAGAAGUAUGAGACAGGUGUGGAGACUUUCUUGGCAUGGAACUGUACAUUGGUCACAAAAUGUUGAGGACAGCAAACAGGCUUCCAUUACCUGUGUGCAAAGGAUCUCAUCUUGGAGGCUCUGGUAUCUGGAAAACAUCUAUGAGAAAUAAUAGCUGCAAAGUAUUUCUGUGUCCUCAGAAGAAGUGUGUGGAUUUGCCUGCACUGUGUGAGCUGACAGCACCCACUUAACUGACCUGUGAAAGUGGCCGUACUUGGUUUUGGCAAGUUUUUUCCUUCAUAGCCCCACAAUUCCUGCAGAGCAAAGAAAAUGCUUUGAACAGGAUGAUCUAGAACAGAGGGAGACAGCAUUUAGCGUAAAGAACUAUGUGAAGCAGGAAAAAUUAAAAAGAAACCUCCGCUACUCUAAAGCAACAGCAAGACCAUUGCAGAGGUCAGAAUGGCCAGGGCUGUAAUAAGCUUCUAAAAAUGUAUGUUCCGCUGCUGAAUUGCUUUGCCCUUGUCUCCAGAGCUUCUCAGGGAAUUGUAUUCAAUCUCAGGUUUUAUGAAGACGAGCUCAAUGAAGAUUUGGUCUGCAGCAUUUCUGGCUGCAGUCUUUCUGGCUUUAGCCUUGUUUGUGUGUGAUUAUUUUUUUUCCAAACCAUAGAAUUGCUGAAAGGUUUUAUACCUUUUCUAGUUUCUCCCGUCAAAGGUUACGGAUAGACUCAUCAUCUAAUUAUUUUGUUUCCAUCUUGUAAACAAGAUCUGGAGAAUAAGAUAGCAAAGAACGUAUUUCUGCUUGCAUCUUACAACAUGCCUACACUGAAAGAAAUUAUACAUAACAAAAUUUCAUUUCAAUUUCCUGUAACAGGGUACCCUGUGAAAUGGAAAAGAGAAGACGCUGUUAGACACAGUCUGUACUGUAUAGUUCUACUCUGCUCUGAAGGGCUGCUAAAUGGAAACUUUCAGUUUCAAUAAACCUUUUUUUGACA